rnacentral:rRNA from 1 species
AUGUGCACUAUGAGGCAACACGCCGCCGUGUUUGCCCCGCCAUCUUCUGAUCUCUUCAGCAUUCCUGCUGUCUUGGGUUUUCUCUACACACGCAGUGUUUUAGAACGAUGCCCGCUUCAGAGUUUCAGUUCAACUCACCCAGACAGAAAUACAUUCUAUCACUGGCUAAGCAUAGUACGAACUGGGUGGACAUGGAGCCAAGGACAUGCUAAGUCAGAACUCGAAGUUGGGACAACUCAACAAGGGAAAGAGGAGCCUCAAGGGAGAUACCUGCAUAACACUGGAUGCACUGCAGAAGGAAUCAGAAAUGUUCUUAUGUUUUAG